UCAAACUUGGUCAUUUAGAGGAAGUAAAAGUCGUAACAAGGUUUCCGUAGGUGAACCUGCGGAAGGAUCAUUACUGAAUGUAUGGAGGAUGCUUGAUGCGGUCUCAAAAGGACCAGCUCGGCUCUCUAUUAUCCAAACAAACACUUGUGAACCCCCUAGAGAGAUCAGCGGAGGCGGAAAACUAGUUUUCCGUCUUUCUUUUCUCUUGCUUUAAAAACACUUUAUAAAUUUUGAACGUUUAUUGUGCCGUCAAAGGCCUUAAUCAUAUAUACAACUUUUAACAACGGAUCUCUUGGCUCUCGCAUCGAUGAAGAACGCAGC
rnacentral:misc_RNA from 1 species